rnacentral:rRNA from 1 species
AAUAUUGGACAAUGGGCGCAAGCCUGAUCCAGCCAUGCCGCGUGAGUGAUGAAGGCCUUCGGGUUGUAAAGUACUUUUGGCAGAGAAGAAAAGGUAUCCCCUAAUACGGGAUACUGCUGACGGUAUCCGCAGAAUAAGCAGCGGCUAACUACGUGCCAGCAGCUGCGGUAAUACGUAGGGUGCAAGCGUUAAUCGGAAUUACUGGGCGUAAAGCGUGUGUAGGCGGUUCGGAAAGAGAGAUGUGAAAUCCCAGGGCUCAACCUUGGAACUGCAUUUGUAACUGCCGAGCUAGAGUAUGUCAGAGGGGAGUAGAAUUCCACGUGUAGCAGUGAAAUGCGUAGAUAUGUGGAGGAAUACCGAUGGCGAAGGCAGCCCCCUGGGAUAAUACUGACGCUCAGACACGAAAGCGUGGGGAGCAAACAGG